UUUUUGCCCUGUGCAAACAGUUCAGUUUUUCUCUUUGUGUAAUCAGUUAAGUUGUUCAGUGUUAAGUACUAGAGAAUCUGAGUGCCGUGCUACAUAAUUAAUCCAGCUUUUGCUUGUGCAAUCAGUUCAACUUUUACCUUCUGUAACCCCUGCGCUUUAUUUUUUCCUUCCUCCACCAGUUCUGUUUUCCCAUUUUAAUCUGACCGCCUUGUGAUUUUUGUGUGACCAGUUCAGUCAGUAUUUAGAUGUCCAAUUUUUCCGUUGUGCAGUCAAUGUAGUUCUUCCUUGUAUAACCCGUUCAGUCAUUUAUAAUUUAAACUAAAAUCAUAACUCUUA
rnacentral:lncRNA from 1 species